AGCAGGUGGUGGGAUUUGACCUUGUAGAUGAUGAAAGUAAACCUGAAAGGCAUCCAACUAAGCACAUGCCUACACCAGCAGAGUGGACUAAUGAAUUCAAUCCAGGAUACUCUUACUAUCUUUAUUAUUGUUAUGCAAACCUGUACACCCUCGACAAGGUUCUAGUUAUUGUCUUCUCUUUCUUUUUUCAACUUAUUUAAAUAGUUGAUGGUGAAUAGAAAAAGAUUCAAAUUCUAAUUUUUUUUUCAAAAUUACUAUGAUUUUUUAUGUAGAACAUCCAAAGGUUGUGUCGGUGUUCUUGAACAGAGGAUUGAAGUUACACACUACACGGUCGUGGGGUUUAUGUCAAUGGAGUACCAAAGUGGUGUGAUUAGCCCUGCUUCGGUGUUUAGCAAAGCUAGGUUUGGUGAAGAUACCAUAAUUGGGAACCUUGACACCAAUGUCUAAAUGCGCGGAAAGUCUUACUUCCUGAUGACCAUAUUCAGGUUUGUUGUUCCCUGUAGUAGUUACUUUUGAAUAUCAAAACUAAAUCAAAUUAUCUUAGGCUUGUUUCUUUUUCUAA